GGUAACCUCGCAUUUUUAAAGCUGUGAGUGGAAUCGUGGAUGUGAUGUGAUCGUCUAUUUUUGUUAUCUCUAUCCAUUGAAUGAUUGAAAGGUGCAGUGUGGAACAUCAAGUCUACUUCCAGUGCCCCAAAUGAAGAAAUCCAUAUAAUAAUCCAAAAUUGGUUUUGAUUCUCCAAAGACCAUGAUGGUGGUCGAGAAAAACGGAGAAAUGAUCCAGCACCCAAUAACAUGUAACUAGGCCAAGUGCCAAUAAGUAAAUUUUUAGAGAAUCUCAAACAUCCAUAAUCUUUUUUGUAAUAAUUUUACAAUAUACAAACUUUUCAUGCA